CUCGGAAAUGUACCCGAUCUAGCGCAAUUUUAUCAAGAGGUUUCGAGCCAUUUUACAGGCUUAGCAGAGAGAGUGAGACCAGAGGUUAGACCUAAUGACAUCGUACAGGUUGAAAUAAUAGCUGGAAAUGCUCAAGAACACGAUAUCAUUCGAAGUCAGUGAGAGGGGUGUCGACUUUCAGACCGUUUUUGAAGGGUUACUGGAACGGUUGAUACAAUCUAACCGAAAUAUUGACGACGAGUCCAAUCUAGAAUUCUUUAUUCAAGUGGUGCGUAACCCUAGAGGUGGUGGUGGUGGUGUUAAACGAAAAAUAAAAAAAACUUUGGACUGUGAAAUCAUUAAUAAGAAAAGAAAACAUUUGUAUAUAGUACACAACCGCAACAAUAAACUAUGCUUUGCCAUCA